rnacentral:lncRNA from 11 species
CAAAGACCUUGCUGGGGAAAGGUUGGAAAAUUGAGGGCACACAGAAACAUUGGCAUCAGAGCUUGUGGGGUAGCCCAGUUCUCACACUUUGGGAAGAAUGUAUGGACUGGAUUGUUUCUGCUUAUCUGGGAAUUUUAAAGGAUGCAGUGAAUGAAGAUAUUAGAAGAGAACUGUGUGAGUGUGACCAACUCAGAGUGUGACCAACCAUGAAGAUAUUGUGGAGUAGAAGAGAGCUAUGUAUUCC